UACGAAGGGGGCUAGCGUUGUUCGGAUUCAUUGGGCGUAAAGCGCACGUAGGCGGCUUCUUAAGUCAGGGGUGAAAUCCUGGAGCUCAACUCCAGAACUGCCUUUGAUACUGAGGAGCUUGAGUCCGGGAGAGGUGAGUGGAACUGCGAGUGUAGAGGUGAAAUUCGUAGAUAUUCGCAAGAACACCAGUGGCGAAGGCGGCUCACUGGCCCGGUACUGACGCUGAGGUGCGAAAGCGUGGGGAGCAAACAGG
rnacentral:rRNA from 1 species